UACGUAGGGGGCAAGCGUUGUCCGGAAUCAUUGGGCGUAAAGCGCGCGUAGGCGGCCCGGUAAGUCCGCUGUGAAAGUCAAAGGCUCAACCUUUGAAUGCCGGUGGAUACUGUCGGGCUAGAGUCCGGAAGAGGCGAGUGGAAUUCCUGGUGUAGCGGUGGAAUGCGCAGAUAUCAGGAGGAACACCAAUAGCGAAGGCAGCUCGCUGGGACGGUACUGACGCUAAGGCGCGAAAGCGUGGGGAGCAAACGGG
rnacentral:rRNA from 1 species